UACAGAGGGGGCAAGCGUUGUUCGGAAUUACUGGGCGUAAAGGGCGCGUAGGCGGCCUUCUACGUCGAACGUGAAAUCCCUGGGCUCAACCCAGGAACUGCGUCCGAUACUGGAAGGCUUGAAUCCGGGAGAGGGAUGCGGAAUUCCAGGUGUAGCGGUGAAAUGCGUAGAUAUCGGGAGGAACACCUGUGGCGAAAGCGGCUCACUGGACCACAACGUGACGCUGAGGCGCGAAAGCUAGGGGAGCAAACAGG
rnacentral:rRNA from 1 species